GCUGCUCAGAAAAUUCACACCGCUACGAGGUGAGCAGCAGGCAACGUUUAUCAAAGGAUAAGCGGCUAAGAUGUAGAA
rnacentral:ribozyme from 1 species